GACGAACGCUGGCGGCGUGCCUAAUACAUGCAAGUAGAACGCUGAAGAGAGGAGCUUGCUCUUCUUGGAUGAGUUGCGAACGGGUGAGUAACGCGUAGGUAACCUGCCUUGUAGCGGGGGAUAACUAUUGGAAACGAUAGCUAAUACCGCAUAACAAUGGAUGACACAUGUCAUUUAUUUGAAAGGGGCAAUUGCUCCACUACAAGAUGGACCUGCGUUGUAUUAGCUAGUAGGUGAGGUAAUGGCUCACCUAGGCGACGAUACAUAGCCGACCUGAGAGGGUGAUCGGCCACACUGGGACUGAGACACGGCCCAGACUCCUACGGGGGGCAGCAGUAGGGAAUCUUCGGCAAUGGGGGCAACCCUGACCGAGCAACGCCGCGGGAGUGAAGAAGGGUUUCGGAUCGUAAAGCUCUGUUGUAAGUCAAGAACGGGUGUGAGAGUGGAAAGUUCACACUGUGACGGUAGCUUACCAGAAAGGGACGGCUAACUACGUG
rnacentral:rRNA from 1 species